UAUUUGCCUCCCUCAGACCCAGCUCCCAGGUCUACAGCCCUUAUGACACCACACAGAUACACUAAUGCAAUUCCAUUCCAAGAUUCCAUGGGAUGUAGCCAUGGAAUUCAAUUGACAUCAAAGUGCUACAACUAUGUGCUGUAAAGGGGCCUCAGUCUUUUCUAUCCUUGCAGGGUUUAUGGCCAUGACCAUCACUGACACAUGACCCACCUGGGAGAAUUGAAAGACUGCAGAAUCUAUGAAGAGUCAGCCAAAGAUUCAAAAUUGUGAGACAAGUAGGAAUGACUUCUGAGUGAACUAGUGGUUUGAAGCCUGACGUGUCAAGCUUCCAGAAGGCCAGAUGAGAUGAAGGCAAAAUCAGAGGCUUUAGGCUCAAUAGCCAAAGAGAAUGUCAGCAGAGACAAUGUUCCAAAGAACUGACAUCCCACAAUUGCAAACAUACAGAUUUAUUUAUAGUACUGUGACAGCUAUUGAAGAUCACCUCACUGGCUCCUGGUUGGUCUGAAACAGUGCCGGCUAGGAUUUAUUUCCUUAUAGGUCUAAGGCUCCAUCCAACAUUAUAUUGCUGGUUGGUCCCAGCCGUGGUGGGAAAUUUUAAUAAACCGUCAUUGGAUUAUUUUGAAAA